rnacentral:rRNA from 1 species
UCGACCUGAGAUCAGACGAGAUUACCCGCUGA